rnacentral:rRNA from 1 species
GGUUAAGCGACUAAGCGUACACGGUGGAUGCCCUGGCAGUCAGAGGCGAUGAAGGACGUGCUAAUCUGCGAAAAGCGUCGGUAAGGUGAUAUGAACCGUUAUAACCGGCGAUGUCCGAAUGGGGAAACCCAGUGCAAUUCGUUGCACUAUCGUUAACUGAAUACAUAGGUUAACGAGGCGAACCGGGGGAACUGAAACAUCUAAGUACCCCGAGGAAAAGAAAUCAACCGAGAUUCCCCCAGUAGCGGCGAGCGAACGGGGAGCAGCCCAGAGUCUGAAUCAGCUUGUGUGUUAGUGGAACGGUCUGGAAAGUCCGACGGUACAGGGUGAUAGUCCCGUACACCAAAAUGCACAGGUUGUGAACUCGAAGAGUAGGGCGGGACACGUGGUAUCCUGUCUGAAUAUGGGGGGACCAUCCUCCAAGGCUAAAUACUCCUGACUGACCGAUAGUGAACCAGUACCGUGAGGGAAAGGCGAAAAGAACCCCGGCGAGGGGAGUGAAAAAGAACCUGAAACCGUGUACGUACAAGCAGUGGGAGCACCUUCGGGUGUGACUGCGUACCUUUUGUAUAAUGGGUCAGCGACUUAUAUUCU